rnacentral:misc_RNA from 1 species
UCCGGUUUGGCACCGGCAGUCUUCCUAGAGUCCCCGCCAUUACGCGCUGGCAACUAAGAACAGGGGUUGCGCUCGUUGCGGGACUUAACCCAACAUCUCACGACACUAGCUGACGACAACCAUGCACCACCUGUACACCGACCUUGCGGGGAGCACAUCUCUGCACUUUUCCGGUGUAUGUCAAGGCCAGGUAAGGUUCUUCGCGUUGCAUCGAAUUGAGCCACAUACUCCACCGCUUGUGCAGGCCCCCGUCAAUUUCUUUGAGUUUUAAUCUUGCGACCGUACUUCCCAGGCGGCUUAUUUAACGCGUUAGCUACGCCACAAAAGGGGUCGAUACCUCCCACAUCUAAUGAGCAUCGUUUAGGGCUAGGACUAC